rnacentral:rRNA from 1 species
UGUGCAGGCGGGGUCUCAAGUGGUGUAUGAAAUCGCUCGGCUCAACCGGGCGCGGUUAUGCCAGACUGAGGCUCUGGAGUGCGGGAGAGGGGCGUGGAAUUCCGGGUGUAGUGGUGAAAUGCGUAGAGAUCCGGAGGAACCCCAGAGGCGAAGGCGGCGCCCUGGCCCGACACUGACGCUCAGACACGACAGCAUGGGGAGCGAACG